rnacentral:rRNA from 1 species
AGGACUAACGCUGGCGGCGUGCCUAACACAUGCAAGUCGAACGGGGUAGCAAUACCCAGUGGCAGACGGGUGAGUAACACGUGGUCAACCUACCUCUGUGUGGGGGAUAACUAGCCGAAAGGUUAGCUAAUACCGCAUACGAUCGUUUUGAGGCAUCUCGAGACGAUGAAAGGAGCAAUCCGCACGGAGAGGGGGACUGCGUCCCAUUAGUUAGUUGGUGGGGUAACGGCCUACCAAGACUCCGAUGGGUAGCUGGCUUGAGAGAGCGACCAGCCACACUGGAACUGAGAAACGGUCCAGACUCCUACGGGAGGCAGCAGUGAGGAAUUUUUCCGCAAUGGGCGAAAGCCUGACGGAGCGACGCCGCGUGUGGGAUGAAGGCCUUCGGUCGUAACCACUGUCGAAGGGGACGAGUAAUGACGGUACCCUUGGAGGAAGCCCGGCUAACUACGCGCCAGCAGCCGC